AUACAGCCGAUGAGUCAUAAGUAGGACGAAACGCACGUCAUGUAU
rnacentral:hammerhead_ribozyme from 1 species